UUACCUGUCUGAACCUUGUCAAAACAUAAGCUAAAUCCUCACUGUUCACAUAUCUCACAGGAUCUCUAUUUAUUUCAAGGUUAUAAGUUGUCAAAAAUUCUCCAUACCUUCUUCCGAGUGAAUCAUCUGGAAAAGCCAUUAAAUCUUUAAUCGAAUAUUUUGAUGAAUCUAUCAAUGGUCUAUUCUUUAUUAUUCUUCUACCAUCUGGCGUGGAGUUCAUCAAAAUCUGUAAUCUUCUCAAAGCUCUAUUUGAGGUAAGUUCAGUGAUGCAUGCAACUGAAUUAGAAUCAGUUGGAUUUUUAAGACCUUCUACACAGCUUGUAACUGACAGCAAAACUUUCUCAAAUUGCGUUAUAGGGAUAUAAUUCUUCCUAAAUAGCUCUCUAAAAUCUCCUCCCUUUAAGCUUGAAGCGGUUCUCU
rnacentral:sRNA from 1 species